GCCUGGGUGGCUCAGUCGGUUGAGCGUCUGACUUCGGCUCAGGUCAUGAUCUCACAGUUCGUGAGUUCGAGCCCCGCGUUGGGCU
rnacentral:tRNA from 1 species